GUUGUCACGGUGAACGUGGAUUCUGAUUGCUCGGGAAAUAAUUACUGGCUGUAACGCAUGACGACUAAUGUGAAUAAUGUAAAUCGACAUACUUUAACGACCUCGGCUUUAUUCUCUUAGCAUUAUUUUCAAGGACAAGAAUGUUUCCCUGAAGGAAUGAGUUCGACUCGGCUAAUUUAAUAUUUUUUCUUCACGUAUGCUAAUUUCCGAAGAGGGCGCCCCCCGGAAGGUCCGAAACACUAAACGAGACUUGUUCUUGAUUUGACUUCAGACACCGAAAAAAAAAACACUCACUAUAUUGUGACUUUCUCUUUACGCGGAACAAUGCGUGCGCCUAACUCAAGCAAC
rnacentral:lncRNA from 1 species